CGGGGGCCUGCCGGCGGCAGUGCUGCUGUUACAGUGCGGAAGGCCGACCUCAGGGGAAUCCGGUGCGAAUCCGGAACUGACGCGCAACGGUGAGAGGCUGCCGCCUCGAGUCCGAUCACCUGUGGCCGGAUCUACUGUCGA
rnacentral:ncRNA from 2 species